rnacentral:rRNA from 1 species
UUCCAGACUCCUACGGGAGGCAGCAGUGGGGGAUAUUGCACAAUGGGGGAAACCCUGAUGCAGCGACGCCGCGUGAGUGAAGACGGCCUUCGGGUUGUAAAGCUCUGUCAAUCGGGGCGAAGAAGAUGACGGUACCGAUGAAGGAAGCUCCGGCUAACUACGUGCCAGCAGCCGCGGUAAUACGUAGGGAGCAAGCGUUGUCCGGAAUUACUGGGUGUAAAGGGAGCGUAGGCGGGAUGGCAAGUAGAAUGUUAAAUCCAUCGGCUCAACCGGUGGCUGCGUUCUAAACUGCCGUUCUUGAGUGAAGUAGAGGCAGGCGGAAUUCCUAGUGUAGCGGUGAAAUGCGUAGAUAUUAGGAGGAACACCAGUGGCGAAGGCGGCCUGCUGGGCUUUAACUGACGCUGAGGCUCGAAAGCGUGGGGAGCAAACAGGAUUAGAUACCCGAGUA